rnacentral:rRNA from 1 species
CCUACGGGAGGCAGCAGUGGGGGAUAUUGCACAAUGGGGGAAACCCUGAUGCAGCGACGCCGCGUGGGUGAAGAAGCGCCUCGGCGCGUACAGCCCUGUCAGCAGGGAAGAAAAUGACGGUACCUGAAGAAGAAGCCCCGGCUAACUACGUGGCAGCAGCCGCGGUAAUACGUAGGGGGCAAGCGUUAUCCGGAUUUCCUGGGUGUAAAGGGGGCGCAGACGGCGAUGCAAGCCAGGAGUGAAAGCCCGGGGCCCACCCCCGGGACUGCUCGUGGAACUGCGUGGCUAGAGUGCAGGAGGGGCAGGCGGAAUUCCUGGUGUAGCGGGGAAAUGCGUAGAUAUCAGGAGGAACACCGGUGGCGAAGGCGGCCUGCUGGACUGCAACUGACGUUGAGGCCCGAAAGCGUGGGGAGCAAACAGGAGUAGAUACCCCUGUAGUC